UGGGGGAAUAUUGGGCAAUGGGGGAAACCCUGACCCAGCAACGCCGCGUGAGGGAAGAAGGUUUUCGGAUUGUAAACCUCUGUCCUAAGAGAAGAGGGGAAGACGGUAUCUUAGGAGGAAGCCCCGGCUAACUACGUGCCAGCAGCCGCGGUAAUACGUAGGGGGCGAGCGUUGUCCGGAAUUACUGGGCGUAAAGGGUGCGUAGGCGGUUUGGUAAGUUGGAUGUGAAAUACCCGGGCUUAACUUGGGGGCUGCAUCCAAUACUGUCGGACUUGAGUGCAGGAGAGGAAAGCGGAAUUCCUAGUGUAGCGGUGAAAUGCGUAGAUAUUAGGAGGAACACCGGUGGCGAAGGCGGCUUUCUGGACUGUAACUGACGCUGAGGCACGAAAGCGUGGGGAGC
rnacentral:rRNA from 1 species